CAGAGUGUAGCUAAAUUAGCAAAGCAUCUCCCUUACACCGAGAAGUUGUCUGUGCAAAUCAGACCCCUCUGA
rnacentral:tRNA from 1 species